rnacentral:rRNA from 1 species
UACGGAGGGGGCUAGCGUUGUUCGGAAUUACUGGGCGUAAAGCGCGCGUAGGCGGCUUUGCAAGUCGGGUGUGAAAUCCCCAGGCUUAACCUGGGAACUGCAUUCGAGACUGCAUUGCUAGAGUAUGGGAGAGGGAAGUGGAAUUUCCGGUGUAGCGGUGAAAUGCGUAGAUAUCGGAAGGAACAUCAGUGGCGAAAGCGACUUCCUGGACCAAUACUGACGCUCAUGUGCGAAAGCGUGGGGAGCGAACAGG